UACGGGGGGAGCAAGCGUUGUUCGGAUUUACUGGGCGGAAAGGGCGCGUAGGCGGCCACUGCAAGUCAGGUGUGAAAUCUCCGGGCUUAACCCGGAAAGGUCAACUGAUACUGCAGGGCUAGAGUGCAGAAGGGGCAACUGGAAUUCUCGGUGUAGCGGUGAAAUGCGUAGAUAUCGAGAGGAACACCUGCGGCGAAGGCGGGUUGCUGGGCUGACACUGACGCUGAGGCGCGAAAGCCAGGGGAGCGAACGGG
rnacentral:rRNA from 1 species